CAGGAUGUAGCUAAGAUAGAAAAGCAUUUCCCUUACACUGAAAAGCCCCCCGUGCAACUCGGAGUAUCCUGA
rnacentral:tRNA from 1 species